AGCGCGGAGCGGGCCCCGCCUGCCCGGGGGCUCUGGGGAGCCUCGCCCGACCCCCGAGGCCUCGCGGGGGAUGAGCCGGCACCUUCACGGAGAUGCGAGGGUUUUUAUGUCUUGCUUAGAAUUCCACACAAAAUAACACCCCAUCGGAGAGAAAUCUUACAGGAAAAAGAUAUCUUGUGGAAAAAAGCCCCACAGGAUCAGUUAAGUUGGGAAAGGCCUCAGAGAUCAUCCAACCUAUUAGCCAACAGCAUCCUGUCAGCCAGAGCGUGGCACUGAGGGCCGCGCCCGGACUUCCCUUAAACACCUGCAGGGGUGGUGACUCCACCGCCUCCCCGAAAAGCCCAUUCAAUAUCGAAUCACCCUUUCGGUGAAGGAAUUCCUCCUAAUGUCCAACGCGGCCCAGCACAUUAUUGUCUUCUACUCUAAUGAGACCCUGUUAAUUCCCAAAUGAUCUUGUCCUUAUUCAGAGGCACGGUGAGCACCUCACAGGCGUCGGGUCCAGGACCAGACAGGAAAGUGCUGAGCGUCAUUUCACAGAGGAAUCGGUGAACAUAGAAACUGUACCAUGCUUUCUCAGCUGUAUAACUCAUGGAAAUCAGUGAGAUGCUGCCCUUGCGUUUUAAUCAAGAUGAACUUGAAAGGUGAACAUUCGUAUCAACAAUGGAGGAUAUAAUUUGGAAGAUGAAAUGUGAAGAUACAAGUACUAUGCUCACAUGCUGAAGUUUCCUCAGCUGGAGGGAAUUCUGGUGGAAAUUGGGAAUAAUGCUGGAUUACUGUUUUCACACAAAAUGGAUAAGAAGAUUUUUCUCUUUUUUUUGAAAUCCUGAUUUUAAAUGAAUAUGGUUUUCGGGAGGCUCUGAACCAUCAUGUUCUCCUAACCAGGGUGCUGGGGCAUAGAAACAGUGGCAGUCAGGUGCAGCUGCAUCUGGAAAGAAGCAGAACAGACCCUUAAAGCUCAGCCUUCUCUUCAUACCUGGGUGAUGUUAAAGACUGCAAUACAGUUAAAAAGAUGCAGUUAAAAAAACCCCAACAACCUCUGUUUGUAUUCAUUUUUAAGCCUUGCUUAUGCUCUGAUACUACAAAGCACUGAACACCUCAGGCAUUUGCUCUUGCUGGAAGAAUGGUACCUGGUGGCCUGGACCUUUGAUUUGAUCAGUCUGAGGUAUGUCAACAAAAAAUUAACUUUGACUCAAAGGGUCGUAUUCUAUGA